UAGCGACAGCAGUGAAAGUUCAGGCGAUGUUGAAAUCGAAACCGAAACUGAGAGAGACGCAAACUCUCCUGAUUCAGACCCUGAUCCGUCUUCCUCUUCAGCAUCAACCAGUGCGACUGACACUGCAGGGGUUUGGAGUCAUAACCUGACCAUCUCUGUGCAUUCGUGAAAACACUACCUGCUGGUCUGAUUACGGAGGGAUUGCGACUUCAGAAUCUUUUAUUCAGACUUUAAAGAAGGAGAUGAAAUUACCUACAAUUACGGAGGAACGGACUGGCCUUGGUGUAGCAAGACUAGGGAGGAGAACACUGCUGAGAGCAAUGGCCAGGAGAAACAGCAGCCAUCACAAUCUACACCUUUUCUGGAUCAUAACACUGCUAGCGGUUCAUCAGCGACUGAACAGGUAAAACAUCUACUCUGAUAAAGAGGAAGGCUUGGGAAGUAAAUGAGGUCCAUGCAGUGGAGAGACAUAUAAAGACCUUCAUCAUGUCAUGUCGUGUCCCAGGGAAGUUGGCCUGUGAAAA